UAACAUCUUCAGGGCAGGGUGCAAUUCCCUACCGGUGGUACAGCCCACGAGCCGAGCGAAAGCAAUGCAUGAUUUGGUGAAAUUCCAAAGCCGACAGUAUAGUCUGGAUGAGAGAAGAUAAGA
rnacentral:ncRNA from 2 species